GACCGCGUGGCUCAGUUGGCAGAGCAUUGGGCUAGUAUUCCAAAGGUCAUAGGUUCGAAUCCCACCGAGGUCA
rnacentral:tRNA from 1 species